UACGGGGGCAGCAGUGGGGAAUAUUGCACAAUGGGCGAAAGCCUGAUGCAGCUAUGCCGCGUGUAUGAAGAAGGCCUUAGGGUUGUAAAGUACUUUCAUCGGGGAGGAAAAACAAAACUAAUAAUUUUAUUUCUUGACGUUACCCGAAAAAGAAGCACCGGCUAACUCCGUGCCAGCAGCCGCGGUAAUACGGAGGGUGCUAGCGUUAAUCAGAAUUACUGGGCGUAAAGAGCACGUAGGUGGUUUUUUUAAGUCAGAUGUGAAAUCCCUGGGCUUAACCUGGAACUGCAUUUUGAAACUGAAAUACUAGAGUAUCGUAGAGGGAGGUAGAAUUCUAGGUGUAGCGGUGAAAUGCGUAGAUAUCUGGAGGAAUACCUGUGGCGAAAGCGGCCUCCUAAACGAAUACUGACACUGAGGGUGCGAAAGCGUGGGGAGCAAACAGGGAUUAGAUACC
rnacentral:rRNA from 1 species